AUUGAACGCUGGCGGCAGGCUUAAUACAUGCAAGUCGAGCGGGGGAAGGUAGCUUGCUACCGGACCUAGCGGCGGACGGGUGAGUAAUGCUUAGGAAUCUGCCUAUUAGUGGGGGACAACAUCUCGAAAGGGAUGCUAAUACCGCAUACGUCCUACGGGAGAAAGCAGGGGAUCUUCGGACCUUGCGCUAAUAGAUGAGCCUAAUUCGGAUUAGCUAGUUGGUGGGGGAAAGGCCUACCAAGGCGACGAUCUGUAGCGGGUCUGAGAGGAUGAUCCGCCACACUGGGACUGAGACACGGCCCAGACUCCUACGGGAGGCAGCAGUGGGGAAUAUUGGACAAUGGGGGGAACCCUGAUCCAGCCAUGCCGCGUGUGUGAAGAAGGCCUUAUGGUUGUAAAGCACUUUAAGCGAGGAGGAGGCUACUUUAGUUAAUACCUAGAGAUAGUGGACGUUACUCGCAGAAUAAGCACCGGCUAACUCUGUGCCAGCCGCCGCAGUAA
rnacentral:rRNA from 1 species